UCCUGUCUGUUAUUAUAAGCCACCCAGAGUAGCCCCCACGGCAACAUAUCAAAUAAAUUUAAUAAAUAACGUAAGCGUAAAGCUUUUUACUGGAAACUUUUUUCCCCCUACUAAAGUCAACUACUGGGGCAAGGUUGCCACAACAGAACGAAUCGAGGCAACACAGCCUACUUUUACUAUCCAGGUGCACCGAGUGGAAAACAAGGAGCAGGCGACGGAGCAGCGCUACAAGCUAUAUACACCCCAAGACCGACAUUCAUCCCAAACAGGUUUCAGAUGAUUCCUCUAAGACUCGAGAGCUGCCGAGCGAUGAGGCGGGGAAGAUGAAAAAGAAAAAAAAACGGACUCUUUUUUCCCCUCUUUCUACACGCCAGACUCUUUGAAAUAGGAAAAUCAUGGCUUUUAGAGUAAAGCGGAGAAAGAGAGAAA